rnacentral:misc_RNA from 1 species
GAAAUGCGAUAAGUAAUGUGAAUUGCAGAAUUCCGUGAAUCAUCGAAUCUUUGAACGCACAUUGCGCCCCCUGGCAUUCCGGGGGGCAUGCCUGUCCGAGCGUCAUUUCUGCCCUCAAGCACGGCUUGUGUGUUGGGUGUGGUCCCCCCGGGGACCUGCCCGAAAGGCAGCGGCGACGUCCGUCUGGUCCUCGAGCGUAUGGGGCUCUGUCACUCGCUCGGGAAGGACCUGCGGGGGUUGGUCACCACCAUAUUUCACCACGAUUGACCUCGGAUCAGGUAGGAGUUACCCGCUGAACUUAAGC